GAAAUGCGAUAAGUAGUGUGAAUUGCAGAAUUCAGUGAAUCAUCGAAUCUUUGAACGCACAUUGCGCCCUAUGGUAUUCCGUAGGGCAUGCCUGUUCGAGCGUCAUUUACACCUUCAAGCCUUGCUUGGUGUUGGGUGACUGUGGCCCCUUUGGGGCCACUCGCCUUAAAGUCAUUGGCGGCCGGUUCGUUGGCUUUGUAGCGCAGCACAAUUACGUCCUCGAAGCCGCUGGACCAGCUCCCAGAAGCUAAUUUUAAAUGUUUGACCUCGAAUCAGGUAGGGAUACCCGCUGAACUUAAGC
rnacentral:misc_RNA from 1 species